rnacentral:sRNA from 2 species
AGGUUCGACUCGAGCGAAAGCGAGAGAACGUUGCCAACGGCAACGGCCCGUAGGGUGAGGAGCGAAGCGACGAAUAAUCCUUCCCCCACCACCA